GCUCUCGUGGCUCAGUAGGUAGAGCGUCGCCUUGGUAAGGCGGAGGUCGUCGGUUCAAAUCCGAUCGAGAGCU
rnacentral:tRNA from 1 species